CUGUCUUCCAGGAAGGAAUGGGCCCCGCUUCUGAGCUGCAUAGAACUCCACAGAAUUACAUGAACAGAGAGAAACUCGUGGCCCUGAAUGUCUUGAAUGAGUAUCUGUCUCCUGUAAACCUGCUAUAUAUAGACUCAGGAAAUGACCGUGGUAUAUGCCGUCCACCCCCACACCAAAGCCGAGAGGAGCUGGAUGGAGGAAGAGCAAAACCCGGAAAAGCCUCAGGAUCAAGGCAGCCUUUGGAAAGGCCUGUGCUUGCUGCUUGCUUUGCAGCUGCCUCAUAAAUGCCUCUGAGAGAGAUCUGACCAGGCAAACUGUUAGUCAUCUGUCAGAAUCCAGCUCAAAUUUCAUCUCCUCCGUGAUGCCUUCCCUGAUUGAUCCAGGAAUACACUGGCUCUCUCCUCAAUGCUUGCUUAGCCCUCUUACCCAAGCGUGAUUGUAGCUCCAUUUUUUACAGUGUCUGUUCUCCAUGCAGGAUUAUGAUAUGAGCAUAGUGACAUCUUCUCUCCUUCAUCUUUUAAGAUUUUUUUCUUUAUUCUAUUCCACUUCUAGGUAUGUACCUCAAAGAACUGAAAGCAGGGAAAGUGAACAGAUAUUUGUACACCCAGGUUCAUAGUAGCCUUAUUUGCAACAGUCAAAAGGUGAGAACAACCCAAAUAUCCAUCACAGGGGAAUAGACAAAAGGUGGUAUAUGCAUGCCAUGGAAUAUUAUUCAUCCUCCA